AUAAGAUUGAGAUAACUUAUUUAGUAAAUGAAUUUAAAAAAUCAAACUCACAACUUUCAAUAAAAAGAAUGUAUGGUUAGAAUCAAUGAUUCAAGAAACUGAUAUUUCUACACGGUCGCCAUUUCUUUAUAUUUUUAUAAGCUUUGAAUAGCAUUCUCUCUUAAAUGCUGUUUGUUUUGUCAUUUGAGAAACUAUAGUAUAGUUGAAGUAUACUGUAGUUAUAGUUCAUGCUUAUUAUGUAGCUUAUAUGUGAGGCUUCUUGUGGCUCUGAAGGCUAAAAGUUCAAGUUAGAGG
rnacentral:misc_RNA from 1 species